GAUCCUGGCUCAGAACGAACGCUGGCGGCAGGCUUAACACAUGCAAGUUGAACGGGAUUUGUAUGGUGCUUGCACCAUGUAAUGAGAGUAGCGCACUGGUGAGUAACCCGUGGGAACAUACCUUGAAGUGGGGGACAACAGUUGGAAACGACUGCUAAUACCGCAUAAUCCCUUGAGGGGGAAAGAUUUAUCGCUUUAAGAUUGGCCCGCGGAAGAUUAGGUAGUUGGUGGGGUAAAGGCCUACCAAGCCGACGAU
rnacentral:rRNA from 1 species